UGGCUCAGGACGAACGCUGGCGGCGUGCUUAACACAUGCAAGUCGAACGGUGAAGCCCAGCUUGCUGGGUGGAUCAGUGGCGAACGGGUGAGUAACACGUGAGUAACCUGCCCCUGACUCUGGGAUAAGCCUUGGAAACGAGGUCUAAUACCGGAUAUGUGUCGUUCAGGCAUCUGAUGCGUCUGGAAAGAUUUAUCGGUCAGGGAUGGACUCGCGGCCUAUCAGCUUGUUGGUGGGGUAACGGCCUACCAAGGCGACGACGGGUAGCCGGCCUGAGAGGGCGACCGGCCACACUGGGACUGAGACACGGCCCAGACUCCUACGGGAGGCAGCAGUGGGGAAUAUUGCACAAUGGGCGCAAGCCUGAUGCAGCGACGCCGCGUGAGGGAUGAAGGCCUUCGGGUUGUAAACCUCUUUCAGCAGGGAAGAAGCGCAAGUGACGGUACCUGCAGAAGAAGCGCCGGCUAACUACGUGCCAGCAGCCGCGGUAAUACGUAGGGCGCAAGCGUUGUCCGGAAUUAUUGGGCGUAAAGAGCUCGUAGGCGGUUUGUCGCGUCUGCUGUGAAAACUCGAGGCUCAACCUCGGGCUUGCAGUGGGUACGGGCAGACUAGAGUGCGGUAGGGGAGACUGGAAUUCCUGGUGUAGCGGUGGAAUGCGCAGAUAUCAGGAGGAACACCGAUGGCGAAGGCAGGUCUCUGGGCCGCAACUGACGCUGAGGAGCGAAAGCGUGGGGAGCAAACAGGAU
rnacentral:rRNA from 1 species